UUUAAAAUGUUACACACCAUUAUUUUUGGAAGGUGAAACGAUUACCUACCCUUUAUUUUCCAACGACAACCUUAUAUUAAAUAUUCUACGAAUAGACGGAGUAUUAGUUUAAAUAAAUGUUGGUUUUGAAAUGUUUAAUACUAUUCUCCUCUGCAGCUAUCCAAACUGUGGAAUACCUGGACAACAUCGGAAAAAAGUUAAUGCUUUCCGAGAUAUCGUAACGGGUAUAUGUUCCCGUAUAUUAAGUAUAGGUAUUAUUAUAAUGUUGAGGAAUAUGGACAAACGUUUUCCAGUUUAUUUCGUGCAAUAU